AUCAGAGUAGAUAAAGAGCAUUAAGUGUUAGGAAAUGGGUUGUUGUUCCUAAACGAAGCGAAUGCGUGAUUCUUUAUCGCAACCGCUGCC
rnacentral:ncRNA from 20 species